rnacentral:rRNA from 1 species
AUUGAACGCUGGCGGCAGGCUUAACACAUGCAAGUCGAGCGAGCGGCGGACGGGUGAGUAAUGUCUGGGAAACUGCCUGAUGGAGGGGGAUAACUACUGGAAACGGUAGCUAAUACCGCAUACCCUCAGAUGUGCCCAGAUGGGAUUGGCUAGUUGGUGGGGUAAUGGCUCACCUAGGCGACGAUCCCUAGCUGGUCUGAGAGGAUGAAAAGCCACACUGUAACUGAGACAGGGUCCAGACGCCUACGGGAGGCAGCAGUGGGGAAGAUUGAACAAUGGGCGCAAGCCUGAUGCAGCCAUGCCGCGUGUAUGAAGAAGGCUUUCGGGUUGUAAAGCACUUUCAGCGAGGAGGCGUUACUCGCAGAAGAAGCACCGGCUAACUCCGUGCCAGCAGCCGCGGUAAUAC